rnacentral:rRNA from 1 species
GUGCCAGCCGCCGCGGUAAUACGGAGGGUGCGAGCGUUAAUCGGAAUUACUGGGCGUAAAGCGUACGCAGGCGGUUUGUUAAGCGAGAUGUGAAAGCCCCGGGCUCAACCUGGGAGCUGCAUUUCGAACUGGCAAACUAGAGUGUGAUAGAGGGUGGUAGAAUUUCAGGUGUAGCGGUGAAAUGCGUAGAGAUCUGAAGGAAUACCGAUGGCGAAGGCAGCCACCUGGGUCAACACUGACGCUCAUGUACGAAAGCGUGGGGAGCAAACGGGAUUAGAUACCCGGGUAGUCC